GCCACAGUUAGAUUAGCCAUGCAUGUCUAAGUAUAAGCAACUUGUACUGUGAAACUGCGAAUGGCUCAUUAAAUCAGUUAUCGUUUAUUUGAUAGUACCUUACUACAUGGAUACCUGUGGUAAUUCUAGAGCUAAUACAUGCUAAAAACCCCGACUUCAGGAAGGGGUGUAUUUAUUAGAUAAAAAACCAACGCCCUUCGGGGCUCCUUGGUGAAUCAUAAUAACUUAACGAAUCGCAUGGCCUUGCGCCGGCGAUGGUUCAUUCAAAUUUCUGCCCUAUCAACUUUCGAUGGUAGGAUAGUGGCCUACCAUGGUGGCAACGGGUAACGGGGAAUUAGGGUUCGAUUCCGGAGAGGGAGCCUGAGAAACGGCUACCACAUCCAAGGAAGGCAGCAGGCGCGCAAAUUACCCAAUCCCGAUACGGGGAGGUAGUGACAAUAAAUACUGAUACGGGGCUCUUUUGGGUCUCGUAAUUGGAAUGAGAACAAUUUAAAUCCCUUAACGAGGAACAAUUGGAGGGCAAGUCUGGUGCCAGCAGCCGCGGUAAUUCCAGCUCCAAUAGCGUAUAUUAAAGUUGUUGCAGUUAAAAAGCUCGUAGUUGAACCUUGGGCCUGGCUGGCCGGUCCGCCUCACCGCGAGUACUGGUCCGGCUGGGCCUUUCCUUCUGGGGAACCUCAUGGCCUUCACUGGCUGUGGGGGGAACCAGGACUUUUACUGUGAAAAAAUUAGAGUGUUCAAAGCAGGCCUUUGCUCGAAUACAUUAGCAUGGAAUAAUAGAAUAGGACGUGUGGUUCUAUUUUGUUGGUUUCUAGGACCGCCGUAAUGAUUAAUAGGGAUAGUCGGGGGCGUCAGUAUUCAGCUGUCAGAGGUGAAAUUCUUGGAUUUGCUGAAGACUAACUACUGCGAAAGCAUUCGCCAAGGAUGUUUUCAUUAAUCAGGGAACGAAAGUUAGGGGAUCGAAGACGAUCAGAUACCGUCGUAGUCUUAACCAUAAACUAUGCCGACUAGGGAUCGGACGGGAUUCUAUAAUGACCCGUUCGGCACCUUACGAGAAAUCAAAGUUUUUGGGUUCUGGGGGGAGUAUGGUCGCAAGGCUGAAACUUAAAGAAAUUGACGGAAGGGCACCACAAGGCGUGGAGCCUGCGGCUUAAUUUGACUCAACACGGGGAAACUCACCAGGUCCAGACAAAAUAAGGAUUGACAGAUUGAGAGCUCUUUCUUGAUCUUUUGGAUGGUGGUGCAUGGCCGUUCUUAGUUGGUGGAGUGAUUUGUCUGCUUAAUUGCGAUAACGAACGAGACCUCGGCCCUUAAAUAGCCCGGUCCGCAUUUGCGGGCCGCUGGCUUCUUAAGGGGACUAUCGGCUCAGCCGAUAUGGAUGUUUGAUUAUU
rnacentral:rRNA from 1 species